rnacentral:tRNA from 1 species
GGAAGGGUAGCUCAGUGGUAGAGCAUGUAUUCUGCACAUGCUAAGAUCUGGGUUCACACCCCAGCACCACCA